rnacentral:rRNA from 1 species
GAUGGACGCUGGCGGCGUGCUUAACACAUGCAAGUCGAACGGUGAAGGCGGAGCUUGCUCUGCUGGAUCAGUGGCGAACGGGUGAGUAACACGUGAGCAAUCUGCCCCUGACUCUGGGAUAAGCGCUGGAAACGGCGUCUAAUACUGGAUACGAGCUGCGAAGGCAUCUUCAGCAGCUGGAAAGAACUUCGGUCAGGGAUGAGCUCGCGGCCUAUCAGCUUGUUGGUGAGGUAACGGCUCACCAAGGCGUCGACGGGUAGCCGGCCUGAGAGGGUGACCGGCCACACGGGGACUGAGACACGGCCCAGACUCCUACGGGAGGCAGCAGUGGGGAAUAUUGCACAAUGGGCGAAAGCCUGAUGCAGCAACGCCGCGUGAGGGACGACGGCCUUCGGGUUGUAAACCUCUUUUAGCAGGGAAGAAGCGAAAGUGACGGUACCUGCAGAAAAAGCGCCGGCUAACUACGUG